UGGAAAAUGUUGGUUUACCAUCCAUCAUUGCAAUGAGCGAUAAGAAUUGGACAGAAAUAGGUAUUUCAGCUUUUUCUCUUUUCAUAAAGCCGGUGUCUGUUUACUUUCUUAUCACGUCACACGUCAUCAUAAAAUACAAAUAUGGCUUCGGAGUAUUUGAUGGGUUUGGAACACAUGAGUAGAUAUGUGAGUCCUGUGAAUCCUGCAGUUUAUCCUCAUCUCACUCUUGUUUUAUUAGGAAUUGGACUUUUUUUCAUGGGAUGGUUCUUUGUUUAUGAAGUGACUUCAACAAAGUUUACAAGAGAUGUCUUCAAAGAGCUUUUGAUAUCAUUGGUUGCUGCAAUUUUCCUGGGAUUUGGAGUAUUGUUUCUUCUUCUUUGGGUUGGAAUAUAUGUUUAAUAGUUGUCUGAAGUCGAGAAAUCAUAAGUCAUCAUGGUCCACUGAGUGCACAUUCCUGUCGCUUUGUGUUAUAAACAAACUCUUUGUAUGUAAAAAAAUAAAUGUUACUUUUUAUUAAA